GGCCUCUUUGUCAGCUGGAGUUGCGCGGGCUGACGCGCCACUAUGUAGCGGGUUUCGGGCGGGCCACGCGUGCGGGACAGGAACCCAACCCCAGCCGACCUUGAGCUCCAGGAGUUCGUCUCUUACGUCUGCGGAAGUGCAGCUGCCUCAGUUCUUAGCGCAGGUUGACAACUACAGGCACAAGCCAUUGAAGCUGGAAUGUCCUGUUGCUGGUAAAGAAAUGGAUUAGUGAUAACUCAAGUUUCAUCACCUCUCUACAAGUUUCACGCUGUUUAAGUCAUGAACCUACAAAAGCCUGUGAAAAAAUCUUUGAAGAUGCUCAGCUUGUUUCAGUCUGAAAUUUCUCCAAGACCAAUGAACAAAACAGGAUCAUGCCCUGAAUACACACCCAAGCUGCAGGCUCCUGCUUAGCCCUAUUUUGGUUUGGCCUCCAUGAGAUCUUCAGCCACAAUAGCAGGAGAUAAAAAUCUUCCUAGAAGCUUUCAUCAGCUGCAAGUUUUCUUACAGAAUGAAACUUUUCUGCUAUUUUUCUCAUAGUUAAUUGGCUAUUUGAGAAAACCGAAUUUCUGGCUCUCAGCAUUUAAUUGGAUUCUGUGGGUGACUGGAUGACCGCUUUGCACAUCACCAUGGGUAUCAUCCUUACCUUCUUUAAACCUUUUGUGCCAGUCAAAAAUUCUUGCUCUUGAUAUGUCAUCACCGGAAACUACUUUUUUUUUUUGUUUCUCUUUUGUGACAGGGUCUUCCUCUGUCACCCAGGCUGAGGUGGGAUGAUCGCUUGAACUCGGGAGGUAGAGGUUGCAGUGAGCCGAGAUCGCGCCACUGCACUCCAGCCUGGGCGACAGAGCGACACCGUCUUAAAAAAAAAAAAAA
rnacentral:lncRNA from 1 species